rnacentral:rRNA from 1 species
GACGAACGCUGGCGGCGUGCUUAACACAUGCAAGUCGAACGGAAAGGCCCUGCUUUUGUGGGGUGCUCGAGUGGCGAACGGGUGAGUAACACGUGAGUAACCUGCGCUUGACUUUGGGAUAACUUCAGGAAACUGGGGCUAAUAACGGAUAGGAGCUCCUGCUGCAUGGUGGGGGUUGGAAAGUUUCGGCGGUUGGGGAUGGACUCGCGGCUUAUCAGCUUGUUGGUGGGGUAGUGGCUUACCAAGGCUUUGACGGGUAGCCGGCCUGAGAGGGUGACCGGCCACAUUGGGACUGAGAUACGGCCCAGACUCCUACGGGAGGCAGCAGUGGGGAAUAUUGCACAAUGGGCGGAAGCCUGAUGCAGCAACGCCGCGUGCGGGAUGACGGCCUUCGGGUUGUAAACCGCUUUCGCCUGUGACGAAGCGUGAGUGACGGUAAUGGGUAAAGAAGCACCGGCUAACUACGUG